CUAAACUUGCAGUACCUUUGUAACGCGCUGUUGCUACAGUAUAUAGUUUGCUACUGUGGAGUUACGGAUUUGCAAAUGAGUCCCUUUUCAUAAUAAUGAACAAGCGGAAGAAAUAAUCGAUUUCUAUCCAGCACCAUGGACAGCGCCACACUGAAGCAACUUGGCUGGCAGGAUGUCAACCAAUCACAGCUGCAGCCUCUUGAUGCUCAUCAACGACAAGGACAAAAAGAGCGCUGACAUCUGUGUCUGAUGAGUACAAGCAGAGUACACGUGCCCAUGCCAGCUUCUCCUUUCGUGUCUUCACAGCGAGUGACUGGACCACCAGCAAUUUCACAUCUGCAUCGCUGUUCAGCUUGACUAAAUGAACAGUAUUUUACAGAAAUAUAGCAACCAUUGUUUCACAUUCUAAAAUAAUUAAUAUAUUGUUUAAAUUUAAGACAAAAGUGUCAAAUAAUAAUGGAACAUAGUCCAUAGUGUGAUGAAGUACACCUGUGAUUUUUUUCUGCAAGGACACAUGUGAACUUGAGGAACUAACUAAGAUAAAAAUCACCUUGAUAACAGCUGGGCAAAAGUCCUUGCAGAAAAGUCAGUUCUAAGAAAAUCAUAUAUAUAUAUAUAUACAUCUUUUUUUUUU